ACUCAUUGGCUGGAUGGAGGAGUCCUUGUUAACAGCCAAUCAGCGAAAGAAGUUUGCAAUAAUUAUUAGAAGGAUUUAUUUCCUUGUGCGCCAAUCCUUUGUGGAGCUGCCUGAGUUCAACUCAAGCUAUACGAGCGAGUUAAUUGUUCCUUUGAGCAUACUAGCCAUGAUGGCUUAUAGACCCAUCAGUGUGUACAUAAUAUCUCUUCUCCUGACAUGGUGUGCGGCCGGGAAGUUCAGAGUACGGCUGGUUGGAGAAACAGAGUGGUCUGGUGGCCUGUUAGUUUCUAGGAAUGACGCAUGGCGCGCAGUGUGUAAAGACGGCUUUGGAAAUGAAGAAGCACAAAUAGUCUGCAGGAUGCUUGGCUUUAGCGAGUAAUAUACAUUUUUUUCUCUUUUUCUUUCGUUCUUACUUUUUUUUUUUUUUAUACCCGAAUUGGGGUCUAUGAGAACACAUACUUACCUUAGCUAUUUUGAGAGCUGCUGUGAAAGAGUUAAAUUUUCUAUUUAUUGUCUGAGUAUUGGAAAUGGUUGUCUGAUUCCGUUAGUAAAGAAAGACGAUGAGGACAAUGAUGAUGACGAUGAUUUCGUGUCUCUCGUAGAUCGAGGCCGUAGUUGUGGAAUCAGAGAUGCUUUCGGAAAGUUCAGGUGCCAGCUUGCUGGACUGCAAUGGUACUGAAAGUAGUCUGGAAGAGUGUUUCUAUCAAGAGAAGCUCUCUUGCGGUGAAACACCACAAGUCGGAAUUAUCUGCAACAUUCUUAAGAAAGCUAGAGAGUUGAAAGCACGUCUUGUAAAAGGGAUUUUGGGUUUGGACUUCUGGAAGUUUUGUAUGACGGGGAGUGGAGUACAGUUUGCAGUCGUGGCUUUGAUCAGAAAGAAGCGCAGGUUGUUUGCAAGAUGCUUAAGCUACCCAGCAAUUACGUCCUCGCUUUUUCUUUGCCCCACUUCUUAAGGGGAAGAAAUGAAUCUAAGAUUUUAUUUAGCGACCUGGACUGCGAUGGUACAGAGACCAGCUUAGCUCAGUGUAAACACAGUGGCUUCUACAACCACACCUGCACUCACGACGAUGAUGUCAGCGUAAACUGCUUAUUCGACAAAGAUGCGACAUUUCGUCUGGGUACACGUUCCACCAGACAGGACAUGGGGCGUUUGGAGAUCACUGUGGGCCGGUAAAGAAACACGGGAAGGAGAUAAUUGUGUGGAGCGGUCUCUGUGGCGAUGUGUACUCUCCCAUUAUUACUGCCAGAUUAAUCUGCCAGAUGCUUGGCUAUCCCUCAAGUGGCGCCUUACUUCCCGGUUCGUCGUUUGGCCCAACACGUGGAUUUUGGCUGACUAACAUAAACUGUACCGGCGUAAACUCUAGUUUUUUAUCUUGUGUACAACUUUUAACCGGCAUCAGUUCAUCAUGUCCCAAAAACGAACUUGGUUUA